GACGACCUCUGGCGGCGCGCCUAACACAUGCAAGUCGAACGAGCGAGAGAGAGCUUGCUUUCUCGAGCGAGUGGCGAACGGGUGAGUAACGCGUGAGGAACCUGCCUCAAAGAGGGGGACAACAGUUGGAAACGACUGCUAAUACCGCAUAAGCCCACGGUGCCGCAUGGCACAGAGGGAAAAGGAGCAAUCCGCUUUGAGAUGGCCUCGCGUCCGAUUAGCUAGUUGGUGAGGUAACGGCCCACCAAGGCGACGAUCGGUAGCCGGACUGAGAGGUUGAACGGCCACAUUGGGACUGAGACACGGCCCAGACUCCUACGGGAGGCAGCAGUGGGGAAUAUUGCACAAUGGGGGAAACCCUGAUGCAGCGACGCCGCGUGGAGGAAGAAGGUCUUCGGAUUGUAAACUCCUGUUGUUGGGGAAGAUAAUGACGGUACCCAACAAGGAAGUGACGGCUAACUACGUGCCAGCAGCCGCGGUAAAACGUAGGUCACAAGCGUUGUCCGGAAUUACUGGGUGUAAAGGGAGCGCAGGCGGGAAGACAAGUUGGAAGUGAAAUCUAUGGGCUCAACCCAUAAACUGCUUUCAAAACUGUUUUUCUUGAGUAGUGCAGAGGUAGGCGGAAUUCCCGGUGUAGCGGUGGAAUGCGUAGAUAUCGGGAGGAACACCAGUGGCGAAGGCGGCCUACUGGGCACCAACUGACGCUGAGGCUCGAAAGUGUGGGUAGCAAACAGGAUUAGAUACCCUGGUAGUCCACACCGUAAACGAUGAUUACUAGGUGUUGGAGGAUUGACCCCUUCAGUGCCGCAGUUAACACAAUAAGUAAUCCACCUGGGGAGUACGACCGCAAGGUUGAAACUCAAAGGAAUUGACGGGGGCCCGCACAAGCAGUGGAGUAUGUGGUUUAAUUCGACGCAACGCGAAGAACCUUACCAAGUCUUGACAUCCCUUGACAGGCAUAGAAAUAUGUUUUCUCUUCGGAGCAAGGAGACAGGUGGUGCAUGGUUGUCGUCAGCUCGUGUCGUGAGAUGUUGGGUUAAGUCCCGCAACGAGCGCAACCCUUAUGGUCAGUUACUACGCAAGAGGACUCUGGCCAGACUGCCGUUGACAAAACGGAGGAAGGUGGGGAUGACGUCAAAUCAUCAUGCCCUUUAUGACUUGGGCUACACACGUACUACAAUGGCGUUAAACAAAGAGAAGCAAGACCGCGAGGUGGAGCAAAACUCAGAAACGACGUCCCAGUUCGGACUGCAGGCUGCAACUCGCCUGCACGAAGUCGGAAUUGCUAGUAAUCGUGGAUCAGCAUGCCACGGUGAAUACGUUCCCGGGCCUUGUACU
rnacentral:rRNA from 1 species